rnacentral:misc_RNA from 1 species
GAUGAAGAACGCAGCGAAAUGCGAUAAGUAAUGUGAAUUGCAGAAUUCAGUGAAUCAUCGAAUCUUUGAACGCACAUUGCGCCCCUUGGUAUUCCGAGGGGCAUGCCUGUUCGAGCGUCAUUAUAACCCCUCAAGCUCAGCUUGGUGUUGGGGCCUGCUGCACUGGCAGCCCUUAAAAUCAGUGGCGGCGCCAUCUGGCUCUAAGCGUAGUAAUUCUUCUCGCUAUGGAGUCCUGUUGGAUGCUUGCCAUCAACCCCCAAUUUUUCUAUGGUUGACCUCGGAUCAGGUAGGGAUACCCGCUGAACUUAAGCAUAUCAAUAAGCGGAGGA